CAGCAGCUUCAGCUGAGCUGUCAAUCAUCAUCAGCAGCAGGGGCUGAUGGGAGCUGAGGAGCUGGUAAAACCACGUGGCCCUGGUCUGAUCUUGUUUGGCCUCAGCUGCAUCAGAGCACCACUUCUCCCCAGGUUCACCAGAGGAAACACCACUGAACAAAAUGUGUUUCCUCCCAGCUGCUGCUCUGUGCUGUCUGUGUUCAGCGCUGGUUACCAUGGCAACACAGCUGACUCAGGAGGUAACACUGACCAGGAGAGCUGGUGAGAGAGUCUCCAUCAGCUGUGGAGGAACUCAGGUGUGUACUUUAAGCUGGAUAUACUGGUACCAGAAGAAAGACACAGAAACAUUCAAAGCUGUUCUUGGAUUUGAUGCAAGUAAUUCAGAAGUAUAUAAAGGUUACGGUCAUCCUCAACAAGAUGAGUUCUCAGCUGAGAACAAUCAGAACGGCUGUGAGUUAAAGCUAAACAAAGUCCAACAGGAACAUGCAGCCUCGUACUACUGCAGCUGUUGGGUUUCUGGUCUCCACAGAGAGAGAUGAUCCCUGCAGGCUGAACAAAAACCUCCAGAUGAACAGAAGUCAGACAGGAAGAGAGCAGCAGACCUCAGCAGCUUACCAUGCUUCAUCUCCAUGCUGUGGUCAGAUGAUGGAGUUUCUCACUGCUGUUAUUAUUAGUUCGUGUUUAUUCAUUCUAGUUUGUUUUAUGUUUUAGAAAUAAAAUGAAAAUAAACUGAAGAACAAAA